rfam:Oryza rufipogon genomic scaffold, chr12
UUUGAUUUUAUCGAUCUACUCCCUGUGUUUCAUUUUAACUGUUUGAAAAAAUUUUAUAAUUAGUAUUUUUGUUAUUACGAGAUGAUAAAACAUGAAUAGUACUUUACUUGUGGCUCAAGUUUUUAAAUUUUUUCAAAAACUUUUCAAAUAAGACGGAUGGCCAAAGUUCGGCGCGAAAAACCAUGGCCGCACUUAAA